GGGUUGUGAGGUUAAGCGACUAAGCGUACACGGUGGAUGCCCUGGCAGUCAGAGGCGAUGAAGGACGUGCUAAUCUGCGAUAAGCGUCGGUAAGGUGAUAUGAACCGUUAUAACCGGCGAUUUCCGAAUGGGGAAACCCAGUGUGUUUCGACACACUAUCAUUAACUGAAUCCAUAGGUUAAUGAGGCGAACCGGGGGAACUGAAACAUCUAAGUACCCCGAGGAAAAGAAAUCAACCGAGAUUCCCCCAGUAGCGGCGAGCGAACGGGGAGCAGCCCAGAGCCUGAAUCAGUAUGUGUGUUAGUGGAAGCGUCUGGAAAGGCGCGCGAUACAGGGUGACAGCCCCGUACACAAAAAUGCACAUAUUGUGAGCUCGAUGAGUAGGGCGGGACACGUGGUAUCCUGUCUGAAUAUGGGGGGACCAUCCUCCAAGGCUAAAUACUCCUGACUGACCGAUAGUGAACCAGUACCGUGAGGGAAAGGCGAAAAGAACCCCGGCGAGGGGAGUGAAAAAGAACCUGAAACCGUGUACGUACAAGCAGUGGGAGCACGCUUAGGCGUGUGACUGCGUACCUUUUGUAUAAUGGGUCAGCGACUUAUAUUCUGUAGCAAGGUUAACCGAAUAGGGGAGCCGAAGGGAAACCGAGUCUUAACUGGGCGUUAAGUUGCAGGGUAUAGACCCGAAACCCGGUGAUCUAGCCAUGGGCAGGUUGAAGGUUGGGUAACACUAACUGGAGGACCGAACCGACUAAUGUUGAAAAAUUAGCGGAUGACUUGUGGCUGGGGGUGAAAGGCCAAUCAAACCGGGAGAUAGCUGGUUCUCCCCGAAAGCUAUUUAGGUAGCGCCUCGUGAAUUCAUCUCCGGGGGUAGAGCACUGUUUCGGCAAGGGGGUCAUCCCGACUUACCAACCCGAUGCAAACUGCGAAUACCGGAGAAUGUUAUCACGGGAGACACACGGCGGGUGCUAACGUCCGUCGUGAAGAGGGAAACAACCCAGACCGCCAGCUAAGGUCCCAAAGUCAUGGUUAAGUGGGAAACGAUGUGGGAAGGCCCAGACAGCCAGGAUGUUGGCUUAGAAGCAGCCAUCAUUUAAAGAAAGCGUAAUAGCUCACUGGUCGAGUCGGCCUGCGCGGAAGAUGUAACGGGGCUAAACCAUGCACCGAAGCUGCGGCAGCGACGCUGAUGCGUUGUUGGGUAGGGGAGCGUUCUGUAAGCCUGUGAAGGUGUACUGUGAGGUAUGCUGGAGGUAUCAGAAGUGCGAAUGCUGACAUAAGUAACGAUAAAGCGGGUGAAAAGCCCGCUCGCCGGAAGACCAAGGGUUCCUGUCCAACGUUAAUCGGGGCAGGGUGAGUCGACCCCUAAGGCGAGGCCGAAAGGCGUAGUCGAUGGGAAACAGGUUAAUAUUCCUGUACUUGGUGUUACUGCGAAGGGGGGACGGAGAAGGCUAUGUUGGCCGGGCGACGGUUGUCCCGGUUUAAGCGUGUAGGCUGGUUUUCCAGGCAAAUCCGGAAAAUCAAGGCUGAGGCGUGAUGACGAGGCACUACGGUGCUGAAGCAACAAAUGCCCUGCUUCCAGGAAAAGCCUCUAAGCAUCAGGUAACAUCAAAUCGUACCCCAAACCGACACAGGUGGUCAGGUAGAGAAUACCAAGGCGCUUGAGAGAACUCGGGUGAAGGAACUAGGCAAAAUGGUGCCGUAACUUCGGGAGAAGGCACGCUGAUAUGUAGGUGAGGUCCCUCGCGGAUGGAGCUGAAAUCAGUCGAAGAUACCAGCUGGCUGCAACUGUUUAUUAAAAACACAGCACUGUGCAAACACGAAAGUGGACGUAUACGGUGUGACGCCUGCCCGGUGCCGGAAGGUUAAUUGAUGGGGUUAGCCGCAAGGCGAAGCUCUUGAUCGAAGCCCCGGUAAACGGCGGCCGUAACUAUAACGGUCCUAAGGUAGCGAAAUUCCUUGUCGGGUAAGUUCCGACCUGCACGAAUGGCGUAAUGAUGGCCAGGCUGUCUCCACCCGAGACUCAGUGAAAUUGAACUCGCUGUGAAGAUGCAGUGUACCCGCGGCAAGACGGAAAGACCCCGUGAACCUUUACUAUAGCUUGACACUGAACAUUGAGCCUUGAUGUGUAGGAUAGGUGGGAGGCUUUGAAGUGUGGACGCCAGUCUGCAUGGAGCCGACCUUGAAAUACCACCCUUUAAUGUUUGAUGUUCUAACGUUGACCCGUAAUCCGGGUUGCGGACAGUGUCUGGUGGGUAGUUUGACUGGGGCGGUCUCCUCCUAAAGAGUAACGGAGGAGCACGAAGGUUGGCUAAUCCUGGUCGGACAUCAGGAGGUUAGUGCAAUGGCAUAAGCCAGCUUGACUGCGAGCGUGACGGCGCGAGCAGGUGCGAAAGCAGGUCAUAGUGAUCCGGUGGUUCUGAAUGGAAGGGCCAUCGCUCAACGGAUAAAAGGUACUCCGGGGAUAACAGGCUGAUACCGCCCAAGAGUUCAUAUCGACGGCGGUGUUUGGCACCUCGAUGUCGGCUCAUCACAUCCUGGGGCUGAAGUAGGUCCCAAGGGUAUGGCUGUUCGCCAUUUAAAGUGGUACGCGAGCUGGGUUUAGAACGUCGUGAGACAGUUCGGUCCCUAUCUGCCGUGGGCGCUGGAGAACUGAGGGGGGCUGCUCCUAGUACGAGAGGACCGGAGUGGACGCAUCACUGGUGUUCGGGUUGUCAUGCCAAUGGCACUGCCCGGUAGCUAAAUGCGGAAGAGAUAAGUGCUGAAAGCAUCUAAGCACGAAACUUGCCCCGAGAUGAGUUCUCCCUGACUCCUUGAGAGUCCUGAAGGAACGUUGAAGACGACGACGUUGAUAGGCCGGGUGUGUAAGCGCAGCGAUGCGUUGAGCUAACCGGUACUAAUGAACCGUGAGGCUUAACCUUACAACGCCGAAGGUGUUU
rnacentral:rRNA from 1 species